UACAAAAUUCAAAUAUAUUUUAAAAUGCAUCCUUAUAUGAAAAUAGGCCAACCUAGGCUACAUGACAGAUAAUUUCACAUGCAAAUCAUAACUGCAAACAUUUGUCAAUUUAACCCUUUUGGCAUAAUAGUGCAUAAUCCAAGGGGGCAUAUGCAUACACAAUUUAAGACCUACUGUAACCAGGAACGGUUGCGAACACUAGGUCCUCUUCCAGGAAUCGAACCUGUGGCCCUGCAAUUCCAGUGUAGCACUCUAACCAACUAAUGCACCUUUCAAUGUUAAGCUUGGGGGGGGGGGCAAGGGGUAGAGAUUUGAACAAUUUUGCUUGCCCAACGGGGAGGAUUUUGAUGUCGCAAGAUCACCCUGUAGUGUGGACAGGGCCACCGAGAGAAUACAUGGGGCCUAGGACAAAUCUUCCCUGGGGGCCCCAUGACAUUUUUAAGCUAGACCCAACUAGACCUUAGCUAGACUGCAUCUGGAGGUACUGUAGGGGGCCCUCAAUUUCCAAAAUGCUCUGACCAAUUUAAAGAAACUACUCAAUUUUAGGCUCUUCCUCUCAAGUUGGGCCCUAUUAUGGUGGGGGCCUGGGGCAAUUUGCCCCCCCCCCCUCCCCCUGGGCCCCUCUCGGCGGCCCUGGGUGUGGACAUUUCAUCUUUCAAGGCAGCCCUUGGCCAGGCAAUUUUGAAUAUUUUUUAUUCAUACACAAAUAAUGGGAACGUGUUCAUAUCACUGGCCUAUACAUAUUGUCACUGGCCUAUACUUAGAUUGUUGGAACAGGCAAUUUAAUAGUCUGCUUUGUUGAAGUACAACACUUU